CAAACUGGUAUAUAUUUUAGCCUGACCUUUUUAUAUAUAUAUAUAUAUAUAUAUAUAUGGUUAAUAUUAUCACUUUUUCAAUUGGAAACAAGAGUAUGACGAUCUCCAGUGGACCGACCACCAAGGAGGCGAAACAGAGGUAGGUGAGGGCAGACCUAACCUGCUUGUUAGCUUUGCCUGCGCUACAACGAUUCAGGGUAGAAAUCUGGAGAGAUUUAUCUACGAAAAAAUUACUGCCGAGGCCGAGAGGUGGCAUCAUCGGGGAGUUGGCCGCUUCUCGAGGUCUCCGAAAGUUGUCCACUUGAGGUUCAGUCCUGAAAUUGAAGAAGAAAGUGAGACCAAUCCAGUUAAGACUGAUGACAAAAAGAAGAUUCUGCUGGUUGACUUGUGUUAUGAUUAAUCAAGGUAGAAGAAAUUAAACAAAGUUUGUUAAGUUAGUUGAACUUAGUCUAUGUUGUUCUAUCCUUGU